rnacentral:rRNA from 1 species
UACGUAGGGUCCGAGCGUUGUCCGGAAUUAUUGGGCGUAAAGGGCUCGUAGGCGGUCUGUUGCGUCGGGAGCGAAAACUUACAGCUUAACUGUGAGCGUGCUUCCGAUACGGGCAGACUUGAGGUAUUCAGGGGAGAACGGAAUUCCUGGUGUAGCGGUGAAAUGCGCAGAUAUCAGGAGGAACACCGGUGGCGAAGGCGGUUCUCUGGGAAUAUCCUGACGCUGAGGAGCGAAAGUGUGGGGAGCGAACAGG